UACGGGGGGAGCAAGCGUUGUUCGGAUUUACUGGGCGUAAAGGGCGCGUAGGCGGUCGUGACAAGUCACUUGAUGAAAUCUCCGGGCUUAACUCGGAACGGUCAAGUGAUACUGUCGGACUAGAGUACAGAAGGGGCAACUGGAAUUCUCGGUGUAGGCGGUAGAAAUGCGUAGAUAUCGAGAGGAACACCGGUGGCGAAGCGGCGAUCUGGACGUGACUGACGCUGAGAACGCGGAAAGCGUGGGGAGCAAACAGG
rnacentral:rRNA from 1 species